rnacentral:tRNA from 1 species
CGGAGCAUGCUUGUAAUGGUAGCAUUUUUGGUUUGGGACCAAAAGAUGAAAGUUCGAGUCUUUCUGUUCCGA